rnacentral:rRNA from 1 species
AUUGAACGCUGGCGGCAUGCCUUACACAUGCAAGUCGAACGGCAGCACGGGGGCAACCCUGGUGGCGAGUGGCGAACGGGUGAGUAACACAUCGGAACGUGCCCAGUAGUGGGGGAUAGCUCGGCGAAAGCCGGAUUAAUACCGCAUACGACCUACGGGUGAAAGCGGGGGAUCGCAAGACCUCGCGCUAUCGGAGCGGCCGAUGUCAGAUUAGGUUGUUGGUGGGGAAAGGCCUACCAAGCCGACGAUCUGUAGCUGGUCUGAGAGGACGACCAGCCACACUGGGACUGAGACACGGCCCAGACUCCUACGGGAGGCAGCAGUGGGGAAUUUUGGACAAUGGGCGCAGGCCUGAUCCAGCCAUGCCGCGUGCGGGAAGAAGGCC